rnacentral:snoRNA from 1 species
GCUGCCUCGGAGCACUGAAGAUGCGGCUGCCGUGUCACACUUGGGUCAUUAGAUGGCAGAAAGAGAGGCUUGUCUCCCUCAGUGUUCUGGCCCAUGAAAGUCUGGAUAUUAAUAGUCUGACACU